ACCGGCGGCUCGAGUGGUGGCCACUAUUACUGGGCUUAAAGCGUUCGUAGCUGGCUUGUUAAGUCUCUGGGGAAAUCUUCCGGCUCAACCGGAAGGCGUCUCAGGGAUACUGGCAGGCUAGGGACCGGAAGAGGUGAGAGGUACUCCAGGGGUAGGAGUGAAAUCCUGUGGCCCGUGGGGGAAGACCUGUAGGGAAGGCGUCCCACCAGGACGACUCCCACAGUUAGGAACGAAAGCUGCGGGAGCAAAGCG
rnacentral:rRNA from 1 species